rnacentral:rRNA from 1 species
AGUGAACGCUGGCGGUAUGCCUAACACAUGCAAGUCGAACGGCAGCACAGUAAGAGCUUGCUCUUACGGGUGUCGAGUGGCGGACGGGUGAGGAAUACAUCGGAAUCUACUUUUUCGUGGGGGAUAACGUAGGGAAACUUACGCUAAUACCGCAUACGACCUACGGGUGAAAGCAGGGGAUCUUCUGACCUUGCGCGAUUGAAUGAGCCGAUGUUGGAUUAGCUAGUUGGCGGGGUAAAGGCCCAGCAAGGCGACGAUCCGUAGCGGGUCUGAGAGGAUCAUCCGCCACACUGGAACUGAGACACGGUCCAGACUCCUACGGGAGGCAGCAGUGCGGAAUCUUGCACAAUGGGCGAAAGCCUGAUCCAGCAAUACCGCGUGAGUGAAGAACGCCUUCGGGUUGUAAAGCCCUUUUGUUGGGAAAGAAAAGCAGCAGUUUAAUACCCCGCUGUUAUGACGGUACCGAAAGAAUAAGCACCGGCUAACUUCGUG